AAUUACUUUUAAAAAGUUAUUGACAUUAAGUAAAUAUUCAUGGUAUAUUAGUUGGGUAGGCGUCAUUAAUAAUAUUACCGCGGGAUGGAGCAGCGG
rnacentral:ncRNA from 1 species